CUUCCAGCAUCCCAUCAGUGAUGUUCUCUUCUACAAUCUCUUCACCUUUUUCACUUACCAACUCUUUACCACUCCUUGUGACAAUUGCUUUGCAAUGCUCCUUUGGAUUCGGUUGAGUGUUAGUAGAGAAAGAAGGCCCUGCGUUUUGUUCCGACAGUUGCUUCGCAAGUUGGCCUACUUGAUUUUCCAGAUUUUUAAUUGCUGCUUCGUUACUCUUCUGAUUUGCCAUGGAAGCUUGCAUGAAUUGUUGAAGAGUGUCUU
rnacentral:lncRNA from 1 species